rnacentral:tRNA from 1 species
GGUGCUAUAGUGUAGUGGUUAUCACUCGGGAUUUUGACUUCGUAUCGAUUUCCCGAAACCCAGGUUCGAACCCUGGUAGCACCU